UGGGCAUCAAAAAACCUAACAGUUACACCCUCAUUCUCAAAUCAAACAUAUUUUCUCCCUUUCACCUUAGUAUUGGGUUUCGCCAACCAAAUCGAACCUAUCUUCGUCCUUAAUGUUAGAUAGGAAUGGCAAGCUAGACAAAGGAAAAAGACGAAGGAACUACAUAGGAGGCUGAAAUGAGGACAAGGAAGCGGAAAGAAGGGUUGACGAGUACCGUGAAAUUGGCUUGUGGCUGAAAAUUAUCCAGUAGAAGAGCUUCAGAAAGCCAAGAAAUUGUUUCAAGUCCUAUUGUGGAAAAACCUAUUUCGUCCUCUGAUUUUUGGGUUGUAUGUUGGGUUUUUAAAUAUUCGCGUGUGAAUUGACUUACUGGGUAGCAAUGUCAAGUUGAAACAAUAAAAUGAGUCAGAAAAGGAUUUGUAAACUAUACCUAUGAUUGAAAAAGGGAGGUAUGUUAAUCAUCUCUUGACACCAUUAUCAGUAAUUUCUACAAGGACAAGUCAUUUACCCCAUCACCAAAUUCUGGAGGUAAUACCAGAUCUUUUUUUAGAAACAUGCUUUAAUUCUAUUUGGCUUUAUAUCUUUUCGACUCGAUUUGAUUUCGUGUAAAUGAUUUAAUCUCAAGUGCUUCUCAGUUUCUGGCUCUUUAUAAUUUAUUCUUCAAAAUUGUUAUUUUA
rnacentral:lncRNA from 1 species